GAGCGGCGGACGGGUGAGUAACGCGUGGGUAACCUGCCCUGUACAUAUGGAUAACAUGCUGAAAAGCAUACUAAUACAUAAUAACGUACAUUGAAGGCAUCUUCGAUGUAUCAAAGCGUUAGCGUACAGGAUGGACCCGCGUCUGAUUAGCUAGUUGGUGGGGUAAAAGCCUACCAAGGCGACGAUCAGUAGCCGACCUGAGAGGGUGAUCGGCCACAUUGGAACUGAGACACGGUCCAAACUCCUACGGGAGGCAGCAGUGGGGGAUAUUGCACAAUGGGCGAAAGCUGAUGCAGCAACGCCGCGUGAACGAUGAAGGUCUUCGGAUCGUAAAGUUCUGUUGCAGGGGAAGAUAAUGACGGUACCCUGUGAGGAAGCACCGGCUGACUACGUGCCAGCAGCCGCGGUAAUACGUAGGGUGCUAGCGUUAUCCGGAUUUACUGGGCGUAAAGGGUGCGUAGGUGGUCUUUCAAGUCGGUGGUUAAAGGCUACGGCUCAACCGUAUUAAGCCGCCGAAACUGGAAGACUUGAGUGCAGGAGAGGAAAGUGGAAUUCUCAGUGUAGCGGUGAAAUGCGUAGAUAUUGGGAAGAACACCAGUAGCGAAGGCGGCUUUCUGGACUGCAACUGACACUGAGGCACGAAAGCGUGGGUAGCAAACAGGAUUAGAUACCCUGGUAGUCCACGCCGUAAACGAUGAGUACUAGGUGUCGGGGGUUACCCCCCUCGGUGCCGCAGUUAACGCAUUAAGUACUCCGCCUGGGGAGUACGCACGCAAGUGUGAAACUCAAAGGAAUUGACGGGGACCCGCACAAGUAGCGGAGCAUGUGGUUUAAUUCGAAGCAACGCGAAGAACCUUACCUAAGCUUGACAUCCCUCGGACCGGUAGUUAAUCCUACCUUCCUUCGGGGCCGAGGUGACAGGUGGUGCAUGGUUGUCGUCAGCUCGUGUCGUGAGAUGUUGGGUUAAGUCCCGCAACGAGCGCAACCCUUGUCUUUAGUUGCCAGCAUUUAGUUGGGCACUCUAGAGAGACUGCCAGGGAUAACCUGGAGGAAGGUGGGGAUGACGUCAAAUCAUCAUGCCCCUUAUGCUUAGGGCUACACACGUGCUACAAUGGGUGGUACAGAGGGUUGCCAAACCGUGAGGUGGAGCUAAUCCCUUAAAGCCAUUCUCAGUUCGGAUUGUAGGCUGAAACUCGCCUACAUGAAGCUGGAGUUACUAGUAAUCGCAGAUCAGAAUGCUGCGGUGAAUGCGUUCCCGGGUCUUGUACACACCGCCCGUCACACCAUGGGAGUCGGAAACACCCGAAGCCGAUUAUCUAACCGCAAGGAAGAAGUCGUCGAAGGUGGCGUCGAUAACUGGGGUGAAGUCGUAACAAGGUAGCCGUA
rnacentral:rRNA from 1 species